AGAGAACCUUAAACAGCUACAGCAGGAGAACCAUACACUGAGAGAGGAACUCAACACAGACAGCCCAGCCAGUGGGCUGAAAGCCUACAAAGACUGGAGCCGACAGAGAGUGUUGAGGAGACUGGUGGAACUGGAGAGGAGGUUAGAGGAGGGA